AAAAAAAGAGUAUUUGUUUUCUUCCAAAUUUGUGUGAGGCAAAUUUUUGAGAGUAGAUUGAUUCUUCUCUUGCUAUUUAGUUUGGAGUUUGUUACUUUCGAGGGUAUUUCGGAGUUACAAGUAUUCAAAUUUCUUUCCCGUUCAUCGGUGUUUCUAGAGGUUCUUCUUCUAGGGGUUUCGUAGGCAGUCGCUCAAUCAUUAGCGUUUUGGUUACAAGUUAACCAAGGGUUCCAUAGGGCAAAUCUAUCCUUAUUAUUAUUAUUAUUAUUUAACUAAUUUUAUUUAUUCUCGUUUUAUUUCUAAUUUGUGUUUCUCUUGUGUUUAGAUCCGGGUUUCCGCAUCAUAGCCCGUAAUUAUUAUAGAGACGACUAACUAUAUAUGUAAACGUAAAACUAUACUAAUUCUUGUAUUUUGAUUUUCUUUAUUGAUUCUUUUAAUAAUAUUGUAAUUAUUUCAAUUCACAUAUUUGAAUAAAGACUAAGAAAUAAUUGAUAAAUAGUGAAAAAUGAGAGGUACGAUUGAAGUAACAAGGUAGAAGACUUAUUAUGAUAGUUUGGGUGAAUCCAAAUACACAAAUGAAAAUGAUAAUUAAUUAGGCUUCAAAAUCAAUGGGGGAAACUUCCCAAACCCUUUCCUAUGGAACUAACAUAUUGUAGUAUGAUGAAGUGUGAACUUAAUAAAAUCAUCAUAUAGUUGAGAUUAGACAGCUAGCCUUGCCUCAUACGUUUAACAUUCUUUUUGUCCUUUGAUUUUUCAAAAAGGGAAAUUAUUUGGUGUACUGUAUAUAGAAUUUUUAGAUUUUAUAAGUGUCU
rnacentral:lncRNA from 1 species